rnacentral:rRNA from 1 species
GACGAACGCUGGCGGCGUGCUUAACACAUGCAAGUCGAACGGUAAGGCCCUUCGGGGUACACGAGUGGCGAACGGGUGAGUAACACGUGGGUGAUCUGCCCUGCACUUCGGGAUAAGCCUGGGAAACUGGGUCUAAUACCGGAUAGGACCACUGCCUGCAUGGGUGGUGGUGGAAAGCUUUUGCGGUGUGGGAUGGGCCCGCGGCCUAUCAGCUCGUUGGUGGGGUGAUGGCCUACCAAGGCGACGACGGGUAGCCGGCCUGAGAGGGUGACCGGCCACACUGGGACUGAGAUACUGCCCAGACUCCUACGGGAGGCAGCAGUGGGGAAUAUUGCACAAUGGGCGCAAGCCUGAUGCAGCGACGCCGCGUGAGGGAUGACGGCCUUCGGGUUGUAAACCUCUUUCAGCACCGACGAGGCGCAAGUGACGGUAGGUGCAGAAGAAGGACCGGCCAACUACGUGCCAGCCGCCGCGGUAA